rnacentral:rRNA from 1 species
GACGGAGGGUGCUAGCGUUGUUCGGAAUUACUGGGCGUAAAGGGCGCGUAGGCGGCCUGGGAAGUCGGCUUGUGAAAGCCCGGGGCUCAACCCCGGAGGUGCGGCCGAUACUCCCUGGCUGGAGGCCGGAAGAGGAGGGUGGAAUACCCAGUGUAGAGGUGAAAUUCGUAGAUAUUGGGUGGAACACCGGUGGCGAAAGCGGCUCUCUGGUCCGGACCUGACGCUGAGGCGCGAAAGCGUGGGGAGCAAACAGG